AUGACUUUGAUCUGCGUCCUCAUCUGGACUCUCCUCUGCUGCUGCUUCACAGAGUCCAGAGGACAGAUCACACUGACUCAGCCUGGAGCAGUGAGCUCUGCUGUGGGAGACACAGUCACCAUCAAGUGUAGGACGAGUUACAAUGUUUAUAGCUCCAACCGUUUAGCCUGGUACCAACAGAAAGAUGGAGAAACUCCUAAACUGCUCAUUUACCGUGCAAGCACGCAAGUAUCAGGGAUCUCAGAUCGUUUUAAUGCCAGUGGUUUAGACUCUGACUUCACUCUGACCAUCAGUGGAGUCCAGGCUGAAGAUGCAGCAGUUUAUUACUGUCAGAGUUAUCACUGGUUAAACAGUAAAGCUGUGUUCACACAGUGA